UAAGAUACAAGGAAGAGAUAAGUAAAAGAUGUCGCAGCGUAACAGAGAGUCUGGCAAGGUGAGAGCAGACACGACAGGCGGUCUUUGAAAAUGGUCUUGGAGUAUCACAUACCGAGUGACAGACGUCGUAAGGCUAUGUUGGGUGCACCCAUUAUCGUGCUAGAGUAUAACUUUUUUAAGCGUACUCGAAGAGUAUUUAUCAGUGAUGAUAAGUAAAAUAAAGGUGGUAACACGCAAGCGCGUCCUUUCU
rnacentral:ncRNA from 1 species